rnacentral:rRNA from 1 species
UGACCACGAGACCGAUAGCGAACAAGUACCGUGAGGGAAAGUUCAAAAGAACUUUGAAGAGAGAGUUCAAGAGUACGUAAAACCGUUUAGGGGUAAACCUGAGAAACCCAAAAGAUCGAAAGGAGAGAUUCAACGUUGUCGUUGUCUUCUAUUUAUUCCCGGUGUGUGCUUGACCGGGAUUCGUCCUGCGACACGCCGUCGGUUUAUGCGUUAGGCGGCGAUGGCAUGCACUUCUCUCUCAGUAGGACGUUUCGACCCGUUUGGUGUCGAUCUACGACCGCGGCGGUAGCCUGUCACGAAUUUCUUUGCGUCAGACCCCGCGAGCUCCGGUCGACUGCCAGACGGUAUAAACUAUAUGGUAUAGGGCAGCUUUUAAGCGUUCGGCCGGUUGCAAGCACGGACGGUUAUUGGCCGUCGGACCUGGUCCGGCAUCGAUGCCGCCUCGAGCGGACUCUAUUACCGGUCGGCGAUGCUAUUGCUUUUGGUACAUUUAGGGCCCGUCUUGAAACACGGACCAAGGGUCUAGCAUGUGCGCGAGUCAUUGGGAAAUACAAAACCUAAAGGCGCAAUGAACGUAAAGGUUUGCUUAAGUGAACUGAGGGAUGACGGACCGCAUCUACGGAUGCGUGCUUGCAAUCCCGGGGCGUCUCACUCUCAUGGCGAUAAGAGAUGCACUCAGAGCGUACACGCUAGGACCCGAAAGAUGGUGAACUAUGCCCGGUCAGGUCGAAGUCAGGGGAAACCCUGAUGGAGGACCGUAGCGAUUUUGACGUGCAAAUCGAUCGUCGGAACUGGGUAUAGGGGCAAAAGACUAAUCGAACCAUCUGGUAGCUUGUUCCCUCCCAAGUUUCCCUCAGAAUAGCUGGCAUUCGAUGUGCGAGUCUCAUCCGGUAAAGCGAAUGAUUAGAGGCCUUGGGGCCGAAACGACCUCAACCUAUUCUCAAACUUUAAAUGGGUGAGAUCUCUGGAUUGCUUGAAUAGUGAAGCCAUAGAUUUAGAUUAGAGUGCAUAGUGGGCCACUUUUAGUAAGCAGAACUGGCGCUGUGGGAUGAACCAAACGCCAAGUUAAGGCGCCUAAACGUCGCUAACGGUAUACCAUGAAAGGCGUUGGUUGCUUGAGACAGCAGGACGGUGGCCAUGGAAGUUCGAAUCCGCUAAGGAGUGUGUAACAGCUCACCUAGCCCUGAAAAUGGAUGGCGCUGAAGCGUCGUGCCUAUACUCGGCCGCCAGGGCAUGAGGAGCGUUCAUUAUAGUUUGUUUUGACGUCCUGAUGAGUAGGAGGGUCGCGGUGGUGUGCGCAGGAGGGUUUGGGCGUAAGCCUGCCUGGAGCUGCCAUCGGUGCAGAUCUUGGUGGUAGUAGCAAAUACUCCAGCGAGGCCCUGGAGGACUGACGCGGAGAAGGGUUUCGUGUGAACAGCCGUUGCACACGAGUCAGUCGAUCUUAAGCCCCAGGAGAAAUCCUAUGUUGAUGUUGGUGUAUUUUAUUUUGAAUAAAAUCUCACACACAUCGGGCGAAAGGGAAUCUGGUUCCUCUUCCGGAACCCGGCAGCGGAACCGUUGACAAGUCGGGCCCUCGCAAGAGAGUUCGUCGGGGUAACCCAAAAUGACCUGAAGACACCGUCGGGAUAUACGGGAAGAGUUUUCUUUUCUGUAUGAGCGUUCGAGUUUUCGGGAAUCCUCUAGCAGGGAGAUAGGGUUUGGAACGCGAAAGGCACAGCAGUUGCGGCGGUGUCCGUAUCUUCCCCUCGGAACUUGAAAAUCCAGGAGAGGGCUACGAUAUGUGUCGCUCCAGUUCGUAUCAUAUCCGCAGCAGGUCUCCAAGGUGAAGAGCCUCUAGUCGAUAGAUUAAUGUAGGUAAGGGAAGUCGGCAAAUUGGAUCCGUAACUUCGGGAUAGGGAUUGGCUCUGAGGAUCGGGUCGUGCCGGACUCGGUUGGGAAGCGGGCGUCGGCCGACGUGCCGGGCCUGAGCGAGGUGAAAUUGUCCUUGUGACUUAGAUCCAAGCUCGGUCCCGUGCCAAGCCGUUUCUGUGCCGGCUUCGGUCGGUCAGUCGUACUCUUCGGCCGCCAUUCAACGGUCAGCUCAGAACUGGCACGGACUAGGGGAAACCGACUGUCUAAUUAAAACAAUGCCUUGCAAUGGCCCUAGCGGUUGUUGACGCAAUGUGAUUUCUGCCCAGUGCUCUGAAUGACAACGUGAAGAAAUUCAAGCAAGUGCGGGUAUACGGGGGGGGGGGUAACUAUGACUUUCUGGUGUUAUUUUCAAAUAACACCAGACCUACUGAAACAGUCAAAAAUGUUACAAAAACAGUGAGCCGGAACAAGAGACAAAUGAGGAGGCAUAAGUACACACAAACCCAAAAACAUUGGGCCAAAAAUCCCUCCAAAUGCAUACAAUAUAUAUAAGAAAUUAAUAUUGUCUCUAAUGCCCCGCCACCGGAUGUAAUGACACAAUUUUGUACGAAUGUUUUCACUAAAAACUCUAUUGGAUCUCCCGGAUACAGCAUAGCAAAAAAUGGAGAUUUAUUACACCUAUGGAAACCGCGGUGACAAUACAGGAAAUCAAUAACUCUUACCCAGCAAAAUCCUAUAUAUGGGCCAGGUUCCGCAAUAUUUGCUGGAAUCGUACACGACACUUAUAGCCAAGAAAGACAACG